GAUGAAGAACGUAGCGAAAUGCGAUACUUGGUGUGAAUUGCAGAAUUCAGUGAAUCAUCGAAUCUUUGAACGCACAUUGCGCCCCUUGGUAUUCCGAGGGGCAUGCCUGUUCGAGCGUCAUUAUAACCCCUCAAGCUCAGCUUGGUGUUGGGGCCUGCUGCACUGGCAGCCCUUAAAAUCAGUGGCGGCGCCAUCUGGCUCUAAGCGUAGUAAUUCUUCUCGCUAUGGAGUCCUGGUGGAUGCUUGCCAUCAACCCCCAAUUUUUCUAUGGUUGACCUCGGAUCAGGUAGGGAUACCCGCUGAACUUAAGCAUAUCAAUAAGCGGAGGA
rnacentral:misc_RNA from 1 species